GAUGAACGCUGGCGGCGUGCUUAACACAUGCAAGUCGAACGGAAAGGCCCAAGCUUGCUUGGGUACUCGAGUGGCGAACGGGUGAGUAACACGUGGGUGAUCUGCCCUGCACUUCGGGAUAAGCCUGGGAAACUGGGUCUAAUACCGGAUAGGACCACAUUUUGGAUGGUGUGGUGGAAAGUUUUUCGGUGUGGGAUGAGCUCGCGGCCUAUCAGCUUGUUGGUGGGGUAAUGGCCUACCAAGGCGUCGACGGGUAGCCGGCCUGAGAGGGUGUACGGCCACAUUGGGACUGAGAUACGGCCCAGACUCCUACGGGAGGCAGCAGUGGGGAAUAUUGCACAAUGGGCGCAAGCCUGAUGCAGCGACGCCGCGUGGGGGAUGACGGCCUUCGGGUUGUAAACUCCUUUCGCUAGGGACGAAGCGUUUUUGUGACGGCACCUGGAGAAGAAGCACCGGCUAACUACGUG
rnacentral:rRNA from 1 species